GAUGAACGCUGGCGGCGUGCCUAAUACAUGCAAGUCGAGCGAACAGAUGAGGAGCUUGCUCCUCUGACGUUAGCGGCGGACGGGUGAGUAACACGUGGAUAACCUACCUAUAAGACUGGGAUAACUUCGGGAAACCGGAGCUAAUACCGGAUAAUAUAUUGAACCGCAUGGUUCAAUAGUGAAAGACGGUUUUGCUGUCACUUAUAGAUGGAUCCGCGCCGCAUUAGCUAGUUGGUAAGGUAACGGCUUACCAAGGCAACGAUGCGUAGCCGACCUGAGAGGGGGAUCGGCCACACUGGAACUGAGACACGGUCCAGACUCCUACGGGAGGCAGCAGUAGGGAAUCUUACGCAAUAGGCGAAAGCCUGACGGAGCAACGCCGCGUGAGUGAUGAAGGUCUUCGGAUCGUAAAACUCUGUUAUUAGGGAAGAACAAAUGUGUAAGUAAAUAUGCACGUCUUGACGGUACCUAAUCAGAAAGCCACGGCUAACUACGUG
rnacentral:rRNA from 1 species